CGUUCUUAACACAUGCAAGUCGAGCGAGAAAGCCCGCAAGGAUGAGUACAGCGGCGCACGGGUGAGUAACGCGUGGGCAACCCACCUCGAAGUCGGGAUAACCCGGGGAAACCUGGGCUAAUGCCGGAUGAGCCUACGAGCUCCUCGGAACAUGUGGGAAAAGGUGGCCUCUGCUUGCAAGCUACCGCUUCGAGACGGGCCCGCGUCCCAUUAGCUAGUUGGUAGGGUAAGAGCCUACCAAGGCGAGGAUCGGUAGCUGGUCUGAGAGGACGACCAGCCACACUGGGACUGAGACACGGCCCAGACUCCUACGGGAGGCAGCAGUGGG
rnacentral:sRNA from 1 species